rnacentral:rRNA from 1 species
GAUGAACGCUGGCGGUAUGCUUAACACAUGCAAGUCGAACGGUCUUUUCGGAGAUAGUGGCGGACGGGUGAGUAACACGUGAGAACCUACCUUCAGAAUGGGGAUAACAGUUGGAAACGACUGCUAAUACCCGAUGUGCCGAAAGGUGAAAGAUUUAUCGUCUGAAGAUGGGCUCGCGGCUGAUUAGCUAGUUGGAAGUGUAAGAGACUCCCAAGGCGACGAUCAGUAACUGGUCUGAGAGGAUGAGCAGUCACACUGGAACUGAGAAACGGUCCAGACUCCUACGGGAGGCAGCAGUGGGGAAUUUUCCGCAAUGGGCGAAAGCCUGACGGAGCAAUACCGCGUGAGGGAGGAAGGUUCUUGGAUUGUAAACCUCUUUUCUAGGGGAAUAAAAAAAUGAAGGUACCCUAGGAAUAAGCAUCGGCUAACUCCGUGCCAGCAGCCGCGGUAAUACGGAGGAUGCAAGCGUUAUCCGGAAUUAUUGGGCGUAAAGAGUCCGUAGGUGGAAGUUCAAGUCUGUCGUUAAAGAAUGGAGCUUAACUCCAUAAAGGCGGUGGAAACUGAACAACUAGAGUGCGGUAGGGGUAACGGGAAUUCCCAGUGUAGCGGUGAAAUGCGUAGAUAUUGGGAAGAACAUCGGUGGCGAAAGCGCGUUACUGGGCCGAAACUGACACUGAGGGACGAAAGCUAGGGUAGCGAAAGGGAUUAGAUACCCCUGUAGUCCUAGCCGUAAACGAUGGAUACUAGGCGUAGC